rnacentral:rRNA from 1 species
UACGAAGGGGGCUAGCGUUGUUCGGAAUUACUGGGCGUAAAGCGCGCGCAGGCGGUCUUCCAAGUCAGUGGUGAAAGCCCGGAGCUCAACUCCGGAACUGCCAUUGAAACUGUAAGACUUGAGGAUGAGAGAGGUGAGUGGAAUUCCCAGUGUAGAGGUGAAAUUCGUAGAUAUUGGGAAGAACACCGGUGGCGAAGGCGGCUCACUGGCUCAUAUCUGACGCUCAGGCGCGACAGCGUGGGUAGCAAACAGG